rnacentral:rRNA from 1 species
AGCGAACGCUGGCGGCAGGCCUAACACAUGCAAGUCGAACGGACCCUUCGGGGUUAGUGGCGGACGGGUGAGUAACACGUGGGAACGUGCCUUUAGGUUCGGAAUAGCUCCUGGAAACGGGAGGUAAUGCCGAAUGUGCCCUUCGGGGGAAAGAUUUAUCGCCUUUAGAGCGGCCCGCGUCUGCUUAUCUAGUUGGUUAGGUAAUGGCUCACCAAGGCGACGAUCAGUAGCUGGUCUGAGGGGAUGACCAGCCACAUUGGGACUGAGAAACGGCCCAAACUCCUACGGGAGGCAGCAGUGGGGAAUCUUGCGAAAUGGGCGAAAGCCUGACGCAGCCAUGCCGCGUGAAUGAUGAAGGUCUUAGGAUUGUAAAAUUCUUUCACCGGGGACGAUAAUGACGGUACCCGGAGAAGAAGCCCCGGCUAACUUCGUGCCAGCCGCCGCGGUAACAC